ACGCUAUCACUCCUACGGGAGGCAGCAGUGGGGAAUAUUGCACAAUGGGCGCAAGCCUGAUGCAGCCAUGCCGCGUGUAUGAAGAAGGCCUUCGGGUUGUAAAGUACUUUCAGCAGUGAGGAAGGUGGGUAUGUUAAUAGCAUAUUCAUUUGACGUUAGCUGCAGAAGAAGCACCGGCUAACUACGUGCCAGCAGCCGCGGUAAUACGUAGGGUGCAAGCGUUGUCCGGAUUUAUUGGGUUUAAAGGGUGCGUAGGCGGGCUAUUAAGUCAGUGGUGAAAUCCAGCAGCUUAACUGUUGAUGUGCCAUUGAUACUGGUAGUCUUGAGUACAGAUGAGGUAGGCGGAAUUGACAGUGUAGCGGUGAAAUGCAUAGAUAUUGUCAAGAACUCCGAUAGCGAAGGCAGCUUACUGGGCUGUAACUGACGCUGAUGCACGAAAGUGUGGGGAUCAAACAGGAUUAGAUACCCUGGUAG
rnacentral:rRNA from 1 species